GGAUGAAGAACGUAGCGAAAUGCGAUAAGUAAUAUGAAUUGCAGAAUUCAGUGAAUCAUCGAAUCUUUGAACGCACAUUGCGCCCGCCAGUAUUCUGGCGGGCAUGCCUGUCUGAGCGUCAUUUCAACCCUCAUGCCCCUAGGGCGUGGUGUUGGGGAUCGGCCAAAGCCCGCGAGGGACGGCCGGCCCCUAAAUCUAGUGGCGGACCCGUCGUGGCCUCCUCUGCGAAGUAGUGAUAUUCCGCAUCGGAGAGCGACGAGCCCCUGCCGUUAAACCCCCAACUUUCCAAGGUUGACCUCAGAUCAGGUAGGAAUACCCGCUGAACUUAAGCAUAUCAAUAAGCGGAGGA
rnacentral:misc_RNA from 1 species